GUGUACUGCCACACGUCCACACCUAGCUACCUUCUCCACCGAAGAUCGGAAAUAUUUUUUAACAACCCCUAGAGGAUUUCCGCAGUCAACUGUUCUUUCUCAUCUCAUUCUUCUAGUUUUACGACUUCAAUCAAAACAAUCAUGGAUUUCUUCUGGGCCGCCAUUUUAUUCAUAGCAUCUGCUGUUUUCCUGAUCUUUAUACUUAUCCUUGUAGUGAUUGUGAAAAUAUACUCUGGAAAAUCGAUUGGCAAUCCAAACUAUCCUCCAGUACAAGGAACAGUGUUCCACCUACUGUUCAACUUCAACAAAUUAUACGACUACCUAACCGAAAUUGCAAGAAAACAUCCUACCUUUCGCGUUCUAUCACCUGAUCAGAGUGAUGUUUACACAACUGAUGUCAGAAACAUACAACACAUUCUUAAAACAAAGUUUGAUACUUACACAAAAGGCAAGUAUGAUAGAGACAUACUUGAAGAUCUGUCCGGGGAAGGAAUAUUUGCUGUUGAUGGAGAUAAGUGGAGGCAGCAAAGGAAGAUUGCCAGUUUUGAAUUCUCAGCCAGGGUACUCAGAGAUUUUAGCUGUGCUGUUUUCCGGAUUAGUGCUGCAAAACUCGUUAGGAUUAUUUCUGCAAAUUACAUUUUCGACAUCCAUGAUAUGUUAAUGAGAUGUACAUUAGAUUCUAUAUUCAAAGUUGGUUUCGGGGUUGACAUGAACUGCCUUGAAGGAUCAAGCAAGGAAGGGAUUGAAUUCAUGAAGGCCUUUGAUGAUGCUAAUGCAUUGGUUUAUUGGCGAUAUGUUGAUCCGUUAUGGAAGCUUAGAAGAGCCCUUAACAUCGGCUCUGAGGCUACACUUAAGAAAAACAUCAAAGUCAUGGACGCGUUUGUUAAUGGAGUAAUCACAACAAAGAGGAAACAAUUGGCUGAACAACAGGAUUCUAUUGUGAAGGAAGACAUACUAUCCAGAUUUAUAGAGGCAAGCAAGAAAGAACCAGAUCAAAUGACUGAUCAGUACUUGAGGGAUAUCAUUCUAAACUUUAUGAUUGCUGGUAAAGAUAGUACUGCGAAUACAGUAUCAUGGUUUAUCUACAUGUUGUGCAAGAACCCAUUAAUACAGGAGAAGAUUUUCCAAGAAGUGAAAGAGUAUAUUAUUGAUACAGACGAUGAAAUAAAUAUCGAUGAUUUCGUGGAUAGAAUCAGUGAUGAAAUACUAGACAAGAUGCAUUAUCUUCAUUCUGCUCUUACAGAGACCCUGAGGCUUUAUCCUGGAGUUCCAGUGGAUGGGAGGACAACACAGGAAGAUGAUGUACUUCCAGAUGGUUACAAGGUUAAGAAGGGAGAAACUGUAAACUACUUAGCCUAUACUAUGGGAAGGAUGCCUUACAUUUGGGGAGAUGAUGCAGAUGAAUUCCGCCCCGAAAGAUGGCUUGAUCAAAAUGGAGUUUUCCAACAAGAAUCACCUUUCAAAUUCAUAGCAUUUCAUGCGGGUCCUCGGAUUUGUCUAGGAAAGGACUUUGCUUAUAGGCAAAUGAAGAUUGUUUCAAUUGCUCUUCUUCGAUUAUUUCGCUUUAGAUUGGGGGAUGAGACAAGAAAGGUUACUUAUAGGACUAUGUUUACACUUCACGUUGAUGGAGGUCUCCAUGUUCAAGCUUUGCCAAGGGUAGCUAUGUGCUAAAUUGCUAAUGCAUGGACUUUGCCUAUGUUCAAUAGUAGUAGUGGACUAGUAGCUACUAGCUAGUAUUCAUUUAGGAAUCUUUGCUGUUGAUGGAGAUAAGUGGAGGCAGCAGAGGAAGCUUUCGAGCUUUGAAUUCUCAGCCCGGGUAUUGAGAGAUUUCAGCUGUGCUGUUUUCAGAAGAAAUGCUGCAAAAUUUGUCAGGAUUAUUUCGC